rnacentral:rRNA from 1 species
GCUCGUAGUUGGAUUCCUGACCUGGGGUAGCCGGUCCGCCUUGCAAAAGGUGCGCACUGAGCGGCCUCGGUCAUCCUUGAGAAGAGCGGUCCUGGCAUUCAGUUGUCGGGGUCGGGAUUCUCGACGUUUACUGUGAAAAAAUCAGAGUGUUCAACGCAGGCUUACGCCUUGAAUACAUUAGCAUGGAAUAAUGAGAUAGGACCUUGGCGGUCUAUUUUGUUGGUUUGCACGCCGAGGUAAUGAUUAAAAGGGACGGUUGGGGUUCUUCGUAUUCAAUUGUCAGAGGUGAAAUUCUUGGAUUUAUGGAAGACGAACUGCUGCGAAAGCGUCGAACAAGGACGUUCUCAUUAAUCAAGAACGAAAGUUAGGGGAUCGAAGAUGAUUAGAUACCAUCGUAGUCUUAACCAUAAACUAUGCCGAUUCAGGAUUGGCGGUCGUUUGUUCUCGACUCCGUCAGCACUGUAUGAGAAAUCAAAAUCUUUGGGUUCCGGGGGGAGUAUGGUCGCAAGGCUGAAACUUAAAGAAAUUGACGGAAGGGCACCACCAGGAGUGGAGCCUGCGGCUUAAUUUGACUCAACACGGGGAAACUUACCAGGUCCAGACAUAGUAAGGAUUGACAGAUUGAGAGCUC